CGGGAAAACAGGUGUUCUCAUUCUUUAAGACGGCGCGCGCCUUCCUCCUCCCGCUUCGUUUGCGCGUUCGCGCGUCCAAAUGGCGAAAUUUCAGUUUGCACACCUGGAAAAAAAUGUGACCGUGUCAGGAGAUGGUGGAGCCGAGUCCGCGCUUCGAUGCAACUUCAUUCUUCAGUCGUUUGCAGUUGGACACGGGGGAACAUCCGUGUUUCACAGCGUCGAAUAAAGGUCGACUGCCUUCAAAUGUCUUUUAUUCCACUGGGAGUGGCAAUACAAUACUCUCAGUACGUCGAGGAGUUGUCAGCUGGUUUUGGACCUAGGUUCCGCCUUGAGCGUUGCCGGUGGGGUCGUGCCUGUCCAACUGCGCUCAAAGAACGAGUGUUCGGAGGAACUGGCGCAUUUAGCGCAACGUCUGAGGUUUUGAAAAGGAAGCUUUGUCUAUGAAACUCUGGCCAAGAGAUGUCUCCGAGGACUACAAAGGUUAUAUCAGCGGAAGUCAAUGUUAUGAAGACAGCAUCAGUUUGUGGAGUAGAACUUUCGCAGUCUACCCAAACAACAUAGUCCAGGGCUUUUUAGGAGACAAGGCAUGCUGAAGCGAACAAAUGCAGGCUUGGUGAAUGAUCUUUUCUCUGCAGCCCCGGCAUCGUAACAUGUGCUUGGGAAUACAGCGCAGCAUCUGGAAACUCCAGCUGUGAUUCUCGACUUACGUGAAAGGCACGAUGGGACUUCAACGGAAAGGAAAGCUCUGUCUUUUUUGGCUGAACGACAGCAAUUCGAUGUGCCGUGAGAGAUACUGUUUCCUUCUUUAGAGAGUUAACUGCGAGCACACAACUGCGGCAUCGGGCGUGAAAGAACGCUCCAGUACCUAUGGGAUGGUGUGCCGUUGAAUCAUUUCUCUUUGACCGGAAACUCCAUACUUUCUGGCAUCCGUCCUUCUACGGUGACCUUUUCCUUGUUCCACUUCGUGAUCCGUCCUCGGUUUGUUCGCAUACGAGGCUGCCAUGAUACGCCGCUUUUAAGCCCGCAAACAAUGAUGACAAUGCUUCGUGGUAGAAUAGUGAAAGCGAACAGCUUUCGCUCUCUAAAGCAGUCCGGUA
rnacentral:lncRNA from 1 species